rnacentral:rRNA from 1 species
GAAUUCGCCCUUAGAGUUUGAUCCUGGCUCAGGAUAAACGCUGGCGGCGCACAUAAGACAUGCAAGUCGAACGAACUUAAUUGAGAGCUUGCUCUCAAAGCGGUUAGUGGCGGACUGGUGAGUAACACGUAAGCAACCUGCCUAUUAGAGGGGAAUAACAGCGAGAAAUCGUUGCUAAUACCGCAUAUGCUGCGAGUAUCGCAUGAUACAAGCAGGAAAGGAGCAAUCCGCUAAUAGAUGGGCUUGCGUCUGAUUAGUUAGUUGGUGGGGUAACGGCCUACCAAGACGAUGAUCAGUAGCCGGACUGAGAGGUUGAACGGCCACAUUGGGACUGAGAUACGGCCCAGACUCCUACGGGAGGCAGCAGUCGGGAAUAUUGCGCAAUGGAGGAAACUCUGACGCAGUGACGCCGCGUGCAGGAAGAAGGUUUUCGGAUUGUAAACUGCUUUUAACAGGAAAGAAAAAAAUGACGGUACCUGUUGAAUAAGCUCCGGCUAACUACGUGCCAGCAGCCGCGGUAAUACGUAGGGAGCGAGCGUUAUCCGGAUUUAUUGGGUGUAAAGGGUGCGUAGACGGAAAUGCAAGUUAGUUGUGAAAUACCUCGGCUUAACUGAGGAACUGCAACUAAAACUAUAUUUCUUGAGUAUCGGAGGGGUUUGUGGAAUUCCUAGUGUAGCGGUGAAAUGCGUAGAUAUUAGGAAGAACACCGGUGGCGAAGGCGACAAACUGGACGAUAACUGACGUUGAGGCACGAAAGUGUGGGGAGCAAACAGGAUUAGAUACCCUGGUAGUCCACACCGUAAA